GAUGAACGCUGGCGGCGUGCCUAAUACAUGCAAGUCGAGCGAACGGACGAGAAGCUUGCUUCUCUGAUGUUAGCGGCGGACGGGUGAGUAACACGUGGAUAACCUACCUAUAAGACUGGGAUAACUUCGGGAAACCGUAGCUAAUACCGGAUAAUAUUUUGAACCGCAUGGUUCAAAAGUGAAAGACGGUCUUGCUGUCACUUAUAGAUGGAUCCGCGCUGCAUUAGCUAGUUGGUAAGGUAACGGCUUACCAAGGCAACGAUGCAUAGCCGACCUGAGAGGGUGAUCGGCCACACUGGAACUGAGACACGGUCCAGACUCCUACGGGAGGCCGCAGUAUGGAAUCUUCCGCAAUGGGCGAAAGCCUGACGGAGCAACGCCGCGUGAGUGAUGAAGGUCUUCGGAUCGUAAAACUCUGUUAUUAGGGAAGAACAUAUGUGUAAGUAACUGUGCACAUCUUGACGGUACCUAAUCAGAAAGCCACGGCUAACUACGUG
rnacentral:rRNA from 1 species